CAAUAGCGUAUAUUUAAGUUGUUGCAGUUAAAAAGCUCGUAGUUGGAUUUCGGGUGGGACGCAGCGGUCUCGCAUUGCGUUUGUACUGCUGCAGCCCUCCUUCUUGCCGGGUGCGGCCUCUCGGACUUCACUGUCUGGGGGUCAGAAUCGGCGAUGUUACUUUGAGUAAAUUAGAGUGUUCAAAGCAAGCUUACGCUCUGAAUAUAAUAGCAUGGGAUAACACGACAGGACUCUGGCCUAUCGUGUUGGUCUAUAGGACCAGAGUAAUGAUUAAGAGGGACAGUCGGGGGCAUUCGUAUUCCGUUGUCAGAGGUGAAAUUCUUGGAUUUACGGAAGACGAACAUCUGCGAAAGCAUUUGCCAAGGAUGUUUUCAUUGA
rnacentral:rRNA from 1 species